rnacentral:rRNA from 1 species
UUUGUGGGCCUUCAAGCAGCCACCAACAAAGAGUGCGUCAAAGCUCUACACUUAAAGAUCUAAAAACAAUGUGACUCCCUCACCCUUAACAGGCCAACCUAUAAUAAUAGGAGAGUUAAUGCUAAAAUAAGUAACUAGGGGCCUACCCUCUCAAGCGCAAGCUUACAUCCCCACAUUAUUAACAGAUCUCACUAAUACCCCAAUUCUAACAAGACUAGAUAUUUGCAACGUCUGUUAACCCGACUCAGGAGCGCCCACUAGAAAGAUUAAAAUCUGUAAAAGGAACUAGGCAAACCCAGGGCCCGACUGUUUACCAAAAACAUAGCCCUCAGCAAUCCAAGUAUUGAAGGUGAUGCCUGCCCGGUGACACAGUUUAACGGCCGCGGUAUCCUA